CUCAAGGGGACAGAUCAGGAGCUGAGGAUCUACCACUGGAGGGAGCUCUAGGUCCCCAAUCAGGCCUUUGUGAACUCACCAGCCCCCUUUUUCCUCAGCAUCAGGACAGCGUACCUGCACACUAUCCAGGAGGAGGAGUCACUGAUGUCACCGGAGCCAGGCAGAGAGGAAGCCACGAGGUCAGGGCGAGUUGAGUCCCAUGUCAGAAUUGUCCCCACGCUGACCUGCGCCUGACUGGCCUCCCAGCAAAAAGCCCCUGUGAAGGCGUCUCUGUGCUGGACCACCGGCCGCUGUGGGACCUUCUCUCCCUCCUGGCUGUCGGUGCCUCAUUCCACAUGUUGGAUCUGGAUC